UCCGUAGGGUGCGAGCGUUGUCCGGAAUUAUUGGGCGUAAAGAGCUCGUAGGCGGCCUGUCGCGUCGGAUGUGAAAGCCCGGGGCUUAACCCCGGGUCUGCAUUCGAUACGGGCAGGCUAGAGUGUGGUAGGGGAGAUCGGAAUUCCCGGUGUAGCGGUGAAAUGCGCAGAUAUCGGGAAGAACACCCGUGGCGAAGGCGGUUCUCUGGGACGGUACUGACGCUGAGACGCGAAAGCGUGGGGAGCGAACAGG
rnacentral:rRNA from 1 species